rnacentral:misc_RNA from 1 species
UUUCCGUAGGUGAACCUGCGGAAGGAUCAUUACCAGUGGAUCGGGGCUGCACGGCCCGGGCGUGUUUACCCCCGCUCCCUCUGAGCGGGGGCCAUGGGCCGGCCGUGCCAACGCCUCUCUCCGAAACCCCAACCCUUGAGAACGUCACCUCUGUUGCCUCGGCGGGUACGCCCGCCGGUGGACGCGAAUCCAAACCCUGUCGUAACGGCGUCGUCUGGGCGAACGAGCAAUUGUUUAAAACUUUCAACAACGGAUCUCUUGGUUCUGGCAUCGAUGAAGAACGCAGC